rnacentral:rRNA from 1 species
GACGAACGCUGGCGGCGUGCCUAAUACAUGCAAGUUGAGCGCUGAAGGUUGGUACUUGUACCAACUGGAUGAGCAGCGAACGGGUGAGUAACGCGUGGGGAAUCUGCCUUUGAGCGGGGGACAACAUUUGGAAACGAAUGCUAAUACCGCAUAAAAACUUUAAACACAAGUUUUAAGUUUGAAAGAUGCAAUUGCAUCACUCAAAGAUGAUCCCGCGUUGUAUUAGCUAGUUGGUGAGGUAAAGGCUCACCAAGGCGAUGAUACAUAGCCGACCUGAGAGGGUGGUCGGCCACAUUGGGACGGAGACAGGGCCCAAACGCCUACGGGAGGCAGCAGGAGGGAAGCUUCGGCAAGGGGCGGAAGUCUGACCGAGCAACGCCGCGUGAGUGAAGAAGGUUUUCGGAUCGGAAAACUCUGUUUGUAGAGAAGAACGUGGGUUAGAGUGGAAAGCUCAUCAAGUGACGGUAACUACCCAGAAAGGGACGGCUAACUACGUG